CUGAAUAACUCCGCAGAUCGUAUGGUCUAGCACCGACGACAUAUCUUUCAAGUGUCUGCCUUAUCAACUUUCGAUGGUAGUUUAUGUGACUACCAUGGUUGUAACGGGUAACGGAGAAUUAGGGUUUGACUCCGGAGAGGGAGCCUGAGAAACGGCUACCACAUCCAAGGAAGGCAGCAGGCGCGCAAAUUACCCACUCUCGGCAUGAGGAGGUAGUGACGAAAAAUAACGAGACAGUUCUCUUUGAGGUCUGUCAUCGGAAUGGGUACAACCCAAACCCUUUAACGAGGAUCUAUUGGAGGGCAAGUCUGGUGCCAGCAGCCGCGGUAAUUCCAGCUCCAAUAGCGUAUAUUAAAGUUGUUGCGGUUAAAAAG
rnacentral:rRNA from 1 species